rnacentral:lncRNA from 10 species
UGUAGACCGGAGCUGUUCCUAUUCGGCCAUCUUGGCUCCUCCAGGAAGCCCACAGGACCCGUCUCUGCUGAUGGACUUUGCAAGUGGAAUGUGCUAUCAUCCACAGAGACACAGGCCUGCAUAGACACCUCGCCAGUGCCCUGUGCAGAGACAGCUCCAACUGUCAAGGUCUGGCUCCUAAGCCACCCCCUCCAUACACCAGCUCCAAUCAGGAGGAAGCCCUCCCACCUGAGAAGGCCCGGAGCUCUCGAAGCCUGCCUCUGCUUGGCCUUCAUCACUAGUGUGUUUCUGACCUACCGGGUGGGUUACAAAUGCUGAACGUUCCAUUGUUUGGGGGUGAUUUGUACCAGGGUUCAGCUCUCUGACUAAUGGGCAGUUGUCUGUGAAUUUUUCUUUCUAGCAUAUGUUAGAUGUACAAUGUAAAG